UACUGCUAAUACCUCUCCCUAUACAACCAUGCAUUCUGCUAGCAUUUCCUGCUGCUCUAUUACAUUGUCUGCCUACCUUUAAGUCAUCAGAAAUAAUCACCCCUAAAUCCCUUUCCUCAAUUGUUGAGGUUAGGACUCUAUCAAAUAUUCUGUACUCUGCCCUUGGGCUUUUACGUCCAAGAUGCAUUAUCUCGCACUUAUCCACAUUAAAUGUCAGUUGCCACAAUUCUGACCAUUUUUCUAGUUUACCUAAAUCAUUUGCCAUUUGGCUUAUCCCUCCUGGAACAUCAACC